rnacentral:rRNA from 1 species
CUUAGUGAUCCGGUGGUUCUGCGUGGAAGGGCCAUCGCUCAACGGAUAAAAGCUACCCUGGGGAUAACAGGCUUAUCUCCCCCAAGAGUCCACAUCGACGGGGAGGGUUGGCACCUCGAUGUCGGCUCAUCACAUCCUGGGGCUGUAGUAGGUCCCAAGGGUUGGGCUGUUCGCCCAUUAAAGGGGUACGCGAGCUGGGUUCAGAACGUCGUGAGACAG